CGAAAAAGGUUGCGACGAUGCUAAAAGCAUGUGAGUUCACACAAUCAACCUUAUUGUGCAAGAUGCUCUAAAAUUUCCCGAUUUCGACGUAAUUCUUACAAAAUGUAAGUCGGUAGUUGGCUUUUUUAAUAGAAGCCAGAUCGCAUAUUCAAAAUUUAAGGAAGCUCAGGGGGACAAUCCGCAUUCUCUUCUGCAAGAAAUGCCAACUCGCUGGAACAGCGCAUACGAAAUGAUUAAGCGCAUACUGAAGACAACCGAAUUUAUUACAUUAGCUUUGGUAUCUUCUCGUGGCGCUCCAUUGCCGUUUUCAGUAGCAGAAGUGGAUAUUUUAAAUGAUAUAUCCGAGUUGCUAUCCCCCUUCGAAGAGGUGACGCUUUCUGUGUCUACAAACACAAAAGUACCAGCGUCCAUAAUUAUCCCUGUCAUAUGCGAACUAAAUCAUAAAAUAAACCAUGUUAAAGUCAACACAGAAAAAGGCAAAAACAUAUUGACGACCAUAAAGUUUAGUCUUACCAAGAGGCUCGCAAGCUAUGAACCACACACAAUACCACGAAUUGCUACCAUACUAGAUCCCCGCUUUAAGAAACACGGAUUUUGUAAUCCCUUUAAUGCGGAAGAAGGUGCCAAAGCUGUGCAGCAUGAACUGUUUACAAAACUACCCGCAAGCCCACUACAUCCGCCAACAUCACCAACACAGGAACCAAGCCGAUUUUUCUACAAGUCAAAAGCCCAAACAAGGUGCACUCUUCCUGGGCAGAUGCCAUUAUACUGAUGAGACAGCAUUUUGGAAAGGAGAACCAGCCGGAAAAAUGUGACCCUCUUGCGUACUGGCAGAUUACUACAGAUGGCGACGCGUUUAAAACGUUAGCUAAAAAAUACUUCUUCGUGCGCAUCUGUGCGAAAGAGUUUUCAGUUAAGCUGGACAACUUAUAAGUGAGCGUCGCACGCGGCUAUCAUCGACCGUUGUCGAUAAGCUCCUCUUCUUAAACAAAAACAAACAUGUAAAUAAUAUGUAAAUAUAUGUAUAUAGUAGAGUUCGGGAUAGUAAGCAAGGAUAGUAAAGUAGGGAUAGUAAGUAAGGAUAGUAAAAUAAGCAAUAGUAUAGUAGGGAUAGCACAAUAUCCUAAAGAACUAUUAUUUUCUUUGGACCAUGUAUAUAUUGAAACAUUGAUAUUCAAUUUGUUUUUGUUUUCAGUUUUUAUUUACAAACUAAGGAUAGGACAAUAUACCAAAGAAGUGGAACAUGAAUAUCAUAAACAAUUUUAUUGUAAUUUGUUUUUCGUUUUCUUUUUUAUUUAAUAAGUGAUUAAUAAAAUGGAUAUUUUUUGUUGAAAA